CUCUACCUUUAUAAUAUGAACAUGUUUUCUGAUUGGCUUUCUGCUGCAUGCACACUGGCGGCAAUAUAAGCUGCUGUUGGACCUUUUAUGUAUCUUCGCACAUGUGAAUUCAUGUUUUCGGUGUGUUUGGGUGUGCCUCAGAGUUGCUCUUUAUAUAGCUCACAACAGCAGCCCAAAGUGGCCAAGUGCCGUUGGUUUUGUCUAGAAAAGAAAUUGAGCUUUUCUACCAUACAUUAACACUUCUCCAUAUUUGAUAUAUAUCGUUCUAAUACUGUAUGUACAGUACGUUGGUCGUCCAUGCCACUAAAAACAUAAACUGUAGGAGAAACGACCGCUUUUUUGAAGACUUCGGCUGUAAUUCUGUGUAAAAUUUUAAGGUCAUCUUUAGCACUCACCUCUCAUCACCACUAUGGAUUGUCCAUCGACGACGUUGUUCACGCUGUUGAAGUGAAAAUAAACAACGUAUUACUGAUAGGGGUGUACCGAAUAUUGUUUUGCCUGAUACGGAUGAACAUAGUAUGCAUUAUGGAGGACAUACCAUUCGAUUUCAGAUUAAAAAUUUUAUGAGGAUUAGUAUGGACAAUGGGAAAUGCUUUUAGAUUCGAAUCUCUGUUCAGUCCCUACCAUUAGGUAUUAUACGUUUUUGUGUCUCGUCGUACAAGUGUAUAAUUGUCUUGUAAUGUGUGGCGAAUCUUGCAAACAAAUAAAUAUAUAAACAAAAGUUUACCACAUUGCAUGGGUCGAUCGAUGGUGGAACCAUCCACACAAUUAUGGUGGAACCAUCCACAACAUCGGUGGUAGCAUUUGACUCUCUUGGGUUUUAACUUUGUACAUGCUGACUUUGCUAAGUGGUUCAUCCUGAUCAGAAACCCCCCCCCCCCAAGUACAAUAAUACUGCAUGUCACCCCAUUUUACUGUUGCCAUAUCAUACACGGCAUAUGGUAAUGGUGGCACUCUUUUGAAUUCAUUCGUACCAAUAUCAUACAUCGAAACAUUAUCUUCGGCAACAUGGGUGGUAGCAUACAACCUUUUUGGGUUUGAUAUAAAAUGUAUAUAAUUUAGCUUUAUAUAACUCCUCAUUAAAUUCUGGUCAUUUAAUCGGCGGGUUAUUACCACGUGAUAUGAAAUAAAAAUUACCAUUUUGUUCAGCAUAUUCCAUUGCAUGCUCAACCGUAGGACUAGGGACUUAGGCCCAUUUUAUACGUAGAAUUUAGGUCGCGUUGAUUUGGCAAAGUUACCACAAAAACACACACACAUGCAACUCUACCUUUAUAAUAUGAACAUGUUUUCUGAGUGGCUUUCUGCUGCAUGCACACUGGCGGCAAUAUAACCUGCUGUUGGACCUUUUAUGUAUCUUCGCACAUGUGAAUUCAUGUUUUCGGUGUGUUUGGGUGUGCCUCAGAGUUGCUCUUUAUAUAGCUCACAACAGCAGCCCAAAGUGGCCAAGUGCCGUUGGUUUUGUCUAGAAAAGAAAUUGAGCUUUUCUACCAUACCUUAACACUUAUCCAUAUUUGAUAUAUAUCGUUCUAAUACUGUAUGUACAGUACGUUGGUCGUCCAUGCCACUAAAAACAUAAACUGUAGGAGAAACGACCGCUUUUUUGAAGACUUCUGCUGUAAUUCUGUGUAAAAUUUUAAGGUCAUCUUUAGCACUCACCUCUCAUCAGCACUAGGUAUCGUCCAUCGACGUCGUUGUUCACGCUGUUGAAGUGAAAAUAAACAACGUAUUACUGAUAGGGGUGUACCGAAUAUUGUUUUGCCUGAUACGGAUGGACAUAGUGUGCAUUAUGGAGGACAUAGCAUUCGAUUUCAGAUUAAAAAUUUUAUGAGGAUUAGUAUGGACAAUGGGAAAUGCUUUUAGAUUCGAAUCUCUGUUCAGUCCCUACCAUUACGUAUUAUACGUUUUUGUGUCUCGUCGUACAAGUGUAUAAUUGUCUUGUAAUGUGUGGCGAAUCUUGCAAACAAAUAAAUAUAUAAAUAAAGGUUUACCACAUUGCAUGGGUCGAUCGAUGGUGGAACCAUCCACACAAUUAUGGUGGAACCAUCCACAGCAACAGCCACACAACCCACCCUUCUGGUCAACAUCGGUGAUAGCAUUUGACUCUCUUGGGUUUUAACUUUGUACAUGCUGACUUUGCUAAGUGGUUCAUCCUGAUCAGAACCCCCCCCCCCCAAGUACAAUAAUACUGCAUGUCACCCCAUUUUACUGUUGCCAUAUCAUACACGGCAUAUGGUAAUGUGGCACUCUUUUGAAUUCAUUCGUACCAAUAUCAUACAUCGAAACAUUAUCUUCGGCAACAUGGGUGGUAGCAUACAACCUUUUUGGGUUUGAUAUAAAAUGUAUAUAAUUUAGCUUUAUAUAACUCCUCAUUAAAUUCUGGUAAUUUAAUCGGCGGGUUAUUACCACGUGAUAUGAAAUAAAAAUGACCAUUUUGUUCAGCAUAUUCCAUUGCAUGCUCAACCGUAGGACCAGGGACUUAGGC